rnacentral:rRNA from 1 species
UACGUAGGGUGCAAGCGUUUGUCCGGAAUUAUUGGGCGUAAAGAGCUCGUAGGCGGUUUGUCGCGUCUGCUGUGAAAACCCGAGGCUCAACCUCGGGCCUGCAGUGGGUACGGGCAGACUAGAGUGCGGUAGGGGAGAUCGGAAUUCCUGGUGUAGCGGUGGAAUGCGCAGAUAUCAGGAGGAACACCAAUGGCGAAGGCAGAUCUCUGGGCCGUAACUGACGCUGAGGAGCGAAAGCAUGGGGAGCGAACAGG